CUUACCGAAUACUCAAUUAACGAGUCAUCUUCUAGAACACCCAAAUUCACAAUUCAUCUUAUCCCGACAUCGAUUUUUCUUCAACGCGAAAUGUCUGAUUCUAGGCGAAGUAUCGGCGUAUGCUAUUCCAUAAAGGCAAUUCUUAUCAAGUGUGUAAGAAACUCCACCAAAAAACAUACAAAUCUUACUGUGGCAGGCAAAAGGUCUAGAGGUGAGAUUUAUUUUCAUUUGGUGGAAUUCAACAUGAGCUGACUAUUGGAUUCAAAAGUUGAAAAAAGAUUUGGCUUCCUUAUCAAAACAAGAAUGCCAUGACUGAAUCCGUUGAAGAUAGUAUUGGUUUCUCCAAGAAUAUAUAGAGCCAAGCACUACAGAACUAUUGCUGAUGUUAUAGAACAGUUGCUUGGCCCAUAAUAUUUGGUUACAAUGGAUGCAUAAAGAAUAUUGAAGACAAUUGGGUAUGAGUUUAUGAUCAAGUUAUACCUUUGGAUGCAUUCGAAGUUGCUUUCAAACAUCGGAGUAUUAGUUUUACAAGAGACCUAUGGAAGGGAGAUAUUUUAUAUUGUAGAUGUUGGAGCAGUUAUUUAAAUAUUUUUGUUGUUUUGAAACAUUGUAAGUUGUAAAGGGUAACUACCAUUUGACGAACACUUUUCGAUGAGUUUGUAUAUAACUAGUUCUUUGUGUUUGUGUAUGUGUAUGUUUGAAAUUUGAUA